rnacentral:rRNA from 1 species
AUACGGAGGGUGCAAGCGUUACUCGGAAUCACUGGGCGUAAAGCGCGCGCAGGCGGCUAUUUAAGUUGGAUGUGAAAGCCUACGGCUCAACCGUAGAACUGCAUCCAAAACUAUUUAGCUAGGGUGUGGGAGAGGAAGAUGGAAUUAGUUGUGUAGGGGUAAAAUCCGUAGAGAUAACUAGGAAUACCAAAAGCGAAGGCAAUCUUCUGGAACACUACUGACGCUGAGGCGCGAAAGCGUGGGGAGCAAACAGGAUUAGAAACCCUAGUAGUCC